rnacentral:rRNA from 1 species
UACGUAGGGUGCAAGCGUUAAUCGGAAUUACUGGGCGUAAAGCGUGCGCAGGCGGUUAUGUAAGACAGAUGUGAAAUGCCCGGGCUUAACCUGGGAACUGCAUUUGUGACUGCAUGGCUAGAGUUUGGCAGAGGGGGGUAGAAUUCCACGUGUAGCAGUGAAAUGCGUAGAUAUGUGGAGGAACACCGGUGGCGAAGGCGGAUCUCUGGGCCUUACCUGACGCUGAGACGCGAAAGCUAGGGGAGCGAACAGG